rnacentral:rRNA from 1 species
GAUGAACGCUGGCGGCGUGCCUAAUACAUGCAAGUCGAGCGAACGGACGAGAAGCUUGCUUCUCUGAUGUUAGCGGCGGACGGGUGAGUAACACGUGGAUAACCUACCUAUAAGACUGGGAUAACUUCGGGAAACCGGAGCUAAUACCGGAUAAUAUUUUGAACCGCAUGGUUCAAAAGUGAAAGACGGUCUUGCUGUCACUUAUAGCUGGAUCCGCGCUGCAUUAGCUAGUUGGUAAGGUAACGGCUUACCAAGGCAACGAUGCAUAGCCGACCUGAGAGGCUGAUCGGCCACACUGGAACUGAGACACGGUCAAGACUUCUACGGGAGGCAGCAGUAGGGAAUCUUCCGCAAUGGGCGAAAGCCUGACGGAGCAACGCCGCGUGAGUGAUGAAGGUCUUCGGAUCGUAAAAAUCUGCUAUUAGGGAAGAACAUAUGUGUAAGUAACUGUGCACAUCUUGACGGUACCUAAUCAGAAAGCCACGGCUAACUACGUG